AGUGAACGCUGGCGGUAGGCCUAACACAUGCAAGUCGAACGGCAGCACAGUAAGAGCUUGCUCUUACGGGUGGCGAGUGGCGGACGGGUGAGGAAUACAUCGGAAUCUACUUUUUCGUGGGGGAUAACGUAGGGAAACUUACGCUAAUACCUCAUACGACCUACGGGUGAAAGCAGGGGAUCUUCGGACCUUGCGCGAUUGAAUGAGCCGAUGUCGGAUUAGCUAGUUGGCGGGGUAAAGGCCCACCAAGGCGACGAUCCGUAGCUGGGCUGAGAGGAUGAUCAGCCACACUGGAACUGAGACACGGUCCAGACUCCUACGGGAGGCAGCAGUGGGGAAUAUUGGACAAUGGGCGCAAGCCUGAUCCAGCCAUACCGCGUGGGUGAAGAAGGCCUUCGGGUUGUAAAGCCCUUUUGUUGGGAAAGAAAAGCAGCAGGUUAAUACCCCGCUGUUCUGACGGUACCCAAAGAAUAAGCACCGGCUAACUUCGUG
rnacentral:rRNA from 1 species